rnacentral:lncRNA from 1 species
GCGCAUUAAAACAGUCCAAUCGAUUUCGUGGCGGUUCAAGGGAUCGUACAAAUCAUAGAGGUAUAUAUUAACAUAGAGUGAGCCCUCACUCCGCCACCACUGACGACAAGAUCUCUUCGACUGGUUUGCGGUAUCUCUUUCUAGCACAAUGUAUCGAGAAACAUAACAUGAAACUAAGUGGGGGUACGGGACGGCAAGUGAAAUAAGGAGAAUUACUUUAUUCUUCUUUUUUCUUUAAUUAUUAUGACAAGUGACAAGACAACAUAACCCAAAUAAUUUAAUCCGGCCCUAUUUCUAUUUUUGAACAAAAUGUUGGAAAUAUCUUAGUUUAUUUUUAGUUCUAGCUUAUUUAUGGCUAGAUUGAAAAUCUGAAUUUUCUAAUAUUGGUUCAUGAUUAUCAUCAGGGACUUGAUUCGGUUCUUAAACAGGUAAAUUUUCUGUCUCAUCUGAUAUUGAUUUGGUAGUGGAAUUCUUUAGUGUAUUAUGUGGACUUUCAUUUUCAUCUUAAUCACUAUUGUGAUUCAAUAAUUUUAGGUCACUUUUAGGAGCUGAGUACUUCGUUGCAACUGUACUUUUCUUUCUGUUUGGAUACUGCAUUAAGGCAUAAUGUACAUUGGCUUCUAAAAGAUAAUCCUUUUCAACUAAAGGAUCAAACUUACUCAUUCAUACAAAUUUUCUUAGUAAUACUUUGUCUGAAUCUUUCAUGAAGAAAUAGAAUUUCUGCUAGUUGAUCUUCAUUGAUAAGUAAACACAUGUUCAUGAUGUGUACAAUUGGUUGCUGUAGACAGUAAACUUCAUAUAGAGUGCAGAGCAUCUGGUAUAUAGAACAUUUUUCCAUUUAGUGAUGUCUAAAUUUCUGGUUUUCAAUGCUAGAUUCACUGCUUUCCAUAUAACUCCAUUGUAUCUUUUAACUUAACCAUUUCCUUCAAUAUGGUGUUGUUCUACUUGAAGAUAUUCCUUUAGAGUGUAGGUAAUUAAUAAAUUCUUGGUAAGUCAAGCUAGUCCCCCUGUCUGACUGGACGUAUCUUAGCAUGGAAAUCUUGAAAAUUCAUCAAUUUUUUUUUGUUCAGAAUCUGUGAGGAUACGUGAGAAAAAAGUAACGGGUCUUCCAGAUUGACUCAGCAUGAUAGCAAUAGCAAAUUCAUUCAUGUAUCUGUUUCAACAAUGAGAAUUUAUUUUUCAUUAAUUACUGUCCAUAGAAGUGCAAUAUUGUAUAUCCCAAAAUAUUUAUAGCUUUUGGGGUGUAUUCUGUAACACUUCCGUUAAAUUUUAGUGGCCUCUAAAAUUUUAGCGCCCGCUAAAAAUAUUUUGUUAUUCUGUAAAUCAUACAUCCGUUAAAAUCAUAACCUAAACCGUUAAAACUCCCUCUAAAUAAAAAUAUUUUAGAGGAUGUCAAAACGUACCCGCUAAAUUUUUAGCAGUCCGUUAAAUGUUAAAUGUGGUUUGAUUAUUUUUGUUGGGUUAUGUUUGUAUGAAUAGUACUUUGUUAUUCUUGUAUUAUACUGGAGAUAAAUAUUUAAAAAUGGAAAAUGGCUUUUUAUAAUGUAUUUGGUGAAGAAGUACUUAAUAAAUAAUAAUGAAAGAGCUGAUUUCAGAUUACAACAUAAACACAAAGUAAAUAAUUGACCUGAAAGUAAAUAACUACAAUUACCAUUUCAAAGGAAGUAGGUAAUACCUACCUAAGUACCUAGAAAUGUUAUUGAAAAAGUGUUGGAAGUCAAAGAUGUUUGUCAAAGCAAUUAAAUCCUAUUAAUGCAGGUAAAAUUAUUUAAAGUUAUUGUGGAACAUUACAAAACGUACCAAAUGAUUACAAAGGUAAAGUUUCAGAAGGUUUAUAACCAGAUGCAGAUUAGAGAGAUUUUGCACCUCUUGAAAUAACCGCUGAUUUUGGCUCCGCUAUGGUUAACUUUAUUAAGCAUAACGAUUACGGCAACGUUAAAAAGCAGAGUUUUUGCAGCCUGUCAAGUAGGUUUUUCGUGUCAUCCUUAUCGUUAUUUAAACAUAACCUCACUUCACAACUUUAUUGUAAUUUUAAGCAUAUAGUUGAACAGUUUUUGAUAUUUUAAUUUAUAGGUAAUCAAAAUUAGAAUCUAUGUAAAUGUAAUUUUACUGAUUUUUUUACAUUCUGGCAACAAAGCAAUUUAACCAUUACUAUAACGAUAACGAUAAGCACUACUUUAAACCUCCGUAAAUUACGGAAUCCCUUAUGUUUAAUAACGAUAUCGGAUCAUAUAUUCGCUACUGCGCAGAUGUAGUACAACGAUAACCAUAACGGAAUUGCAAAAUAAGUGGUGCAAAAUCUCUCUAUUAAUAAGAUGACCUUAAUGUUAUUGAAAAUAGACCAUUUGACCAAAAUUAUUGUCCAAGGAGAGAAGAAAAAAUAAGAUAUGCAUUUUUUCAGCAAUAUUUUAAUGUAUAACUUUAUAAAUAAAAAUGUUUAAUUGGAAAAUAUGGGUUUUACUAAAAAAUAAUUAAAUAUAAUAAGUAUUAUUUUCUAGGAAACUGUCAUUUUCUUCUUCUUCUUAAGGUUUUUGGCCUCUAACAGUCAGUUUUCGGUGAAUUUCUAGGUUAAAAGUAGUUCAAAACGAUCAACGUGCGACGUUGCCGUAUUUGUUCCAAAACCUUUUAGAGGAUUCCUCUAAAAUAAUAUUAUUUUAGCGGUCCUCUAUAAUAUGUGUUUACAGAAUGACAAUCUAACCGAAAAGUUUUAGAGGACCGUUAAAAGUUAAAUUUUAGAGGACCGUUAAAAGUUAAAUUUUAGAGGCCUCUUAAAUUUAACGGAAAUGUUACAGAAUACACCCCUUUGAUUGUAGUGACAUUUAUUUUGAUUUAAAGUUAACCCAUAUUUUUUAACGGCAUUUAAAAACUUCAAAUCAUAGCUAUCUUAUGAUCCUCACCACUAACUGUUACUUCAUCUAAAUAAGCGUAAACCCCUUGUAGAUUUUCUUUUUUAUUGAUAGAAUCAAUGGCUCUCUAAAAAUAUGAUACUCCAUUGGUCACCCCAAGAGGAAUACGACAAAAUUGGUAAAGGCAUCCACUUUCCUCAAAAGCUGUACAUGGUUUGUCAGAUUCAUGAAUUGGCUAUUCUCAUUUAAAAAAAUAUUUGAUUACGUCAUCACGCCCAGAUGGAUGACGUCACUAGUAUGUUGUAUACAGUAGAACCCCGAAAAUCCGAACUAAUUGGGGGGACAGCCUGUUCGGAUUCUGAAAAGUUCGGAUUAUUCGAAAGUCAGCCUAACCAGUAAUUCAAAGCUCUCCUGCAAAACGUGUAACCUGGCUAUGAGAAAACCGAAGUAAAUUUAUGUUUAACCUUUAUAAGCACUACAUAUAAAGUACCUACGUAUUUAUUUUUAAGAAAUUUUAAAUGUCAAAGUCCUACGAAUCCAAUAUUGUUCAAUUUUCUGGUUAUACUUUGUAUAAUAAACAUGUAUUUAAGUUUUUGUCUUGAAUUUUUAAAAAAAAAUUCACUUUCCGUUAGUUUGGAUUUGCAGGGUUCUACUGUAUGUCAAAAAUAUAUAUGAGGGGGGCAAAAUAUAUUGAAUAACCCUGUACAUCAAGAAAUUUACUACCAACGUCUCUGUUACUGAAUAUAUCACUAAGUACAGGGCAACCUAUUUAAAACUUAAAAAAUCAGCUAAAAAAUUAAACUAUCAAAAUCAUCUGAGAAGCUUUAAAAGUGUUGCAAAAGAAAUUUGGUCCAUAAUAAACAAUCUUCUUCGAAAUCAAACUCACAAAGCUCAAACAUUUUCCCUUCCAGACCAUGAAUACUUUAUUAAUGUGAGUAAAAUUAUGACAUCAACUAUUUUGUCACAAGAGAUCAAUUUUGUUAAGAUCCGAUUUCCUAUCUCCCUAAUUCAAGAAAGGUCUCAAAUUCAUUAUUUAUAAGACUAGUUGAUUAAUCUGAACUGAUCCAAACAAUCAAUAGUAUCAAAAGCAAAUCUUCCUGUAGUACUGAUGGACUAUCCAUAAAAAUUGUCUCAAAUCUCCCAGAAAAUGUGUUGGGAGUCCGCAUCCCACUAAUGACUCUUUUAAGGGGCUAUCCUAGUGUAAAAGAACGAAAUUCACAUACUUUUUUUGGGAAUAUCUAAAAUAAAAAGUACUGUACCAAUUGUUUUGAAAAUUUGCAUGACUAUUUAUUAUAAAAAGAAGUACAAGUAAAACAAUUUUCAUAAAAAAAAAUAAUGAAAAUUUAACGAUUUAUGCCCUAUCUACUGGCACAGUGAAAAUAAAAAACAUGGCUCCACUGCUGCAGCGAUUGGGACUAAUAGAGAUCCUGAAUUAUAAAAUUGCAAAUACAUAUUGAUUAUUGAAAUAUUAGUUAUUUCCUAUACCAUCAAUUAGGAUUUUUGGAAAAAUGACGAAGUGUUGAAAUUUUUUUAAAUUAGCUAGAACAUUUUCAGUUUCAAAAACCGCCAAAUUGACAUUUUUUAUCCGAUUAAAAAAAUCCCUAUUUGAUGGUAUAGAAAAUAACCUAUAUUUCAAUAAUAACUUUUGAUAUUUUAUGUUUCAGGAUCUCUUUUAGUCCCAAUCACUGCAACAGUGGAGCUAUGUUUUUAUUUUCACGGUGCUAGUAGAUGGCGAAUAAAUCGUUUAAUUUUCAAUAUUUUUUUAUGAAAAUUGUUUCACAUGUACUUUUUAUAACAAAUGUUCAGUAGUAAUAACCAGAGGACAUUGAUAAUUGUUCGAAAAAUUUUUAUAACAGAUUUCGAAAGCUUGUUCCUUGGAAACAGACCGACGCCGUAGGCGGAGGUCUGUUGCCUGUAAGCAACAAGCUUGAGAAAGUUGUUAAAAAAUUUUUGAGCAUUUAUCAAUGUUCGAGGGUUAUUCGGAUAGAAAAUUUUUUGCUGAUAUAAAAUUAAUAAUAAUUUCAUUAAUAUUCUCAUCAGUAUUACAACCAAAUCGUGACAUUUUGAAAUAUUGAAUAUUUGAAAUGUCAAAAUUGAAAUGAAACGAAAUGUAGGUAUCCAUAGCUACAUGAUUGAGUGAAAACAGCCCAUGGGAUCUGUUUUCAGUAUAAUGUUGGUUGUAUUCAAUCAGAUGACCACAAAUUAAUUGAUUUCAUUGGAUUUCUAAUUGAGCAAAAAAUUUUCAAAAUAAUUGGUACAGUACUUUUUAUUUUAGAAAUUCCCAAAAAAGUAUAUGAAUUUCAUACUUUUACACUAGGAUAGCCCCUUAAGAAAGGUAAAUUUCUAGAGCUGCCUAAAGACAGCCAUCAUUAUUCCUCUUCAUAAGGGUGGUGAAAAAUCUAAUGCCUGCAAUUAUAGACCUAUUGCAUUACUACUGGUACUCUCAAAUAGGACUCAUAUUACACAAGUAUAAAAUCUUGUUGCUGGUAUGAGCACAUUGUGUAAAUGUUAGGAUUUAAAGAGGAUAUAAAAACCUUCAAUACAAUUAUGAGCGUUAGUCUCUUUAUAUCCUAACAUUUUUUUUGUUAUUGUUUUAGUUUAUUAUUGUUUUUUAUGACUCUGUAAGUUUUGUGUAUAAAUUGUACAAUUUUCCAUGACAAUAAAGCAUUUUUCUAUUCUAA